rnacentral:rRNA from 1 species
AUUGAACGCUGGCGGCAGGCCUAGCACAUGCAAGUCGAACGGUAACAGGAAACAGCUUGCUGUUUCGCUGACGAGUGGCGGACGGGUGAGUAAUGUCUGGGAAACUGCCUGAUGGAGGGGGAUAACUACUGGAAACGGUAGCUAAUACCGCAUAACGUCGCAAGACCAAAGAGGGGGACCUUCGGGCCUCUUGCCAUCGGAUGUACCCAGAUGGGAUUAGCUAGUAGGUGGGGUAACGGCUCACCUAGGCGACGAUCCCUAGCUGGUCUGAGAGGAUGACCAGCCACACUGGAACUGAGACACGGUCCAGACUCCUACGGGAGGCAGCAGUGGGGAAUAUUGCACAAUGGGCGCAAGCCUGAUGCAGCCAUGCCGCGUGUAUGAAGAAGGCCUUCGGGUUGUAAAGUACUUUCAGCGGGGAGGAAGGGAGUAAAGUUAAUACCUUUACUCAUUGACGUUACCCGCAGAAGAAGCACCGGCUAACUCCGUG